rnacentral:rRNA from 1 species
GGAGUUAGGAAAUGUAAGUGCGCUAAUAUCGUGCUUAUUUGACAAAGGCUCCAAAGGAAGCCACGGCUAACUCUGUGCCAGCAGCCGCGGUAAUACAGAGGUGGCGAGCGUUGUUCGGAAUCAUUGGGCGUAAAGAGCACGUAGGUGGGUUUGCAAGUCAGAUGUGAAAGCCUUCUGUUCAACGGAAGAAUUGCAUCUGAAACUGCUGAUCUUGAGUAUAGGAGGGGAGAGUGGAACUUCUG